AUGAUGAAACAGUGCCUGAGAACACAGAAGGGUGGGAUGUCACAGCAAGCACUGCUACCCCAGCACUCUAAAAGGAUAGUGCAGCUUCCCUGCAACUGGGGCUCUAAAGCAGGAAAAAGCAAUAUGGAAAAUGAAGGCUGUCAAAAAAGCCUGUUUCGGGCUUUUGCCACUGAAGCACGAUGGGGUCUGUGGAAAAAGCAGCAAAGCUUGUGUCUCCAAUGGAGCCCCAGUAUAGGCAGUGACAGCUCAAUCCCAAUUAUAUCACGUGAGUCUGAAAACUAGUAAGUUUUCUGCCUCAACAGUGGGAGGCAAGUUCACAGCAUUUCCAUUCCAAGAUGCUUGGAGAAUUGAAGCAUACAAAUAGAGAAAAUCUGCAAAGUGUUGUCAGGUAUUAUUUAUGUAUUAUUAUUUUUGUUGGAA
rnacentral:lncRNA from 1 species